ensembl:lncRNA
AUGGGAUAACCUUCUGUUUGCUUGCCUGCCUUCUGACCCUUCAGCACGCAUACCCUCAAUCGUACCCUGCAUUUAUCCUUCCCCUAACCUUUGCAGCUCAGCACCUAUCUUUUCUUCAGCCACUGAGCUUUCUAGCCCCAGUUGAUUUUCUGAACACUAAAGCUCUUGGCACAGACGCUACUGGGCUCUUUGAUUUUUCUUUUGAGUCAGUAUUAGGCUUUGUCUCUUUAGUCUGAUAGUAAGCUUUAUGAGAUCAAUAUCCAAGUUCUUGCAUGUAAGUCGAGGCUUGAGAAAUUUUUGUUGUUGACAAACGUUAGUCAUUUUAAAAAUGUAACUUUCUUUAGCUUGAGUAUUACUAGUAACACAUUAUGGCUAGACUAACCAUACAAAACUAAUUCAGUCAAACUACAUUUAGUGUGUUUUUGUUUGUUUUAGAUUCCAUUAACCAGUUGUUUGAACAAAGCGCCAAAUUCUCCUUCUUGUAUUUGUUUGAUGUUAAGUCAAGUCUGCUGCCUGUGUUUCUAACAAUUAGAGAACAAUGUUAUUCUCAUAUUUAUUGAUAAUCUCCUUAGCCUCUGCCAAGGACUUGUAAUGUGCUAGCUAGUGUACAAAAUAUAAAGAUAAGAUUCACACACUCUUCAGUUAAUUUCUCUAAUAAAGUUGAGAAAGUAACUAUUGUCUCCUAAGCCACAGUGAGGCUCAUGAGCAAGGGAAAUUUAAACUCAAAGCAGUUAAAAACAUUCUGUGUUUCUUUAUUCUUUUUCCCUUUUUAACUCUUCUUUUUUCAUUGUGAAUGCUUUAAAUAUUUUACUGGUAUCUAAUCUGACCCUUUAAAAAAAAUCAUUGUUUUUAUUUCAAGCAGCACAUUUGCUCUGGUUGAUAAUAUUGUGAUAUUGCAUCAACUGCUACAGAAGAACACAAAACAGCAUGUCAAAAAAGUAGUACACAAAAUAAGCAUAUAGUAGGUACAACAUAAAUGCUUGUGGAUUAUUAAAUAAUCCUGAAUUCCUACUGAAUGUAAUGUAAAUUGAAAUAUUGUUAAAUUCUGUGAUCAUCUGGGACAAAUAGGUUAACAUCAAAAAACAGAAAUAAUUCUCUCAGAACUAUUAGGCGGAUAUCAUAGACAAAUAGUUGAAAAAGAAAAGACCUAUUGGGUUAUUUGAAAAAUAAACAAAAAAGCCACAAACAAAACAGAAGACAGAAAACGAAAAAUUAUCAUGCAACAAAAUAGCCUAUUUAGCUUGUCCCUAGGAACUUCAAGAAAAAGUGAGAAUUUGAAAACCAAUUUUUCUUCAACUAUAAGAUGCAUGGAAAUGACUUGUAGAUUAUUAUGUGGGGUAUGCAAAUCAAAUUCAAAAGCUAUAAAUCAGUUAGCUGGGACUUGGAAAGUACUGAAUAGUCAAGAAAGAUGGAAAUGCUAGGGGAGUGAUCUCUCUAUGCAAACUUGAGUGCUUGCAGAUUUCUACAUGUUAGGACACCUCUGUUCAAGAUUAAUUAGUAUUGAAUUUUCCAUGCUGCAGGGAAAAAAGUAAAGCCCGUCUGGGAAGCACUUGUAUGAGAACAGUAGUGAAACUUACCAAAAAUGUGAAAGUAAGAAGUAUGUGAUUCUGUCAAAGGACUGAUAUUAUAUAGAAGAAAAAAAAAAAAAA